rnacentral:rRNA from 1 species
CCUACGGGAGGCAGCAGUGGGGAAUAUUGGUCAAUGGGCGCAAGCCUGACCCAGCCAAGUAGCGUGAAGGAUGACUUCCCUACGGGUUGUAACCUUCUUUUAUAAGGGAGUAAAGUGAGGCGCGUGUGCCUGUUUGUAUGUACUUUAUGAAUAAGGAUCGGCUAACUCCAUUCCAGCAGCCGCGGUAAUACGGAGGAUCCGAGCGUUAUCCGGAUUUAUUGGGUGUAAAGGGAGCGUAGAUGGGUUGUUAAGUCAGUUGUGAAAGUUUGCGGCUCAACCGUAAAAUUGCAAUUGAUACUGGCAGCCUUGAGUACAGUUGAGGCAGGCGGAAUUCGUGGUGUAGCGGUGAAAUGCUUAGAUAUCCCGAAGAACUCCGAUUGCGAAGGCAGCCUACUAAACUGUCACUGACAUUGAUGCGCGAAAGUGUGGGUAUCAAACAGGAUUAGAUACCCUAGUAGUC